rnacentral:rRNA from 1 species
CAAAAACAUUUUUUUUAGGUAUUAUUAAAAAUAAGUUCUGCCCAAUGAUUAAUUAAAUGGCCGCAGUAUUUUAACUGUGCAAAGGUAGCAUAAUAAUUAGUCUUUUAAUUGAAGACUUGUAUGAAUGAAUUUUUGAGGUAUUUAUUAUAUAUAUAUUAUUAAACUAAUUUUAUUUUUUUGUUAAAAAGCUUAAUUAAUUUAAUGGGACGAUAAGACCCUAUAGAACUUAAAUUUAAACAAUUAUUUUAUUUAUUAUUAAUUAAAAUAUUAAUUUAAUUUUUUUCUGGGGAAGAAUAUAAAUUUAAAUUUUAUUUUUUUGAAUCAUUAAUUUAUGUUUAUAAGAUCUAUUAAAUAAAUAUAAGUAAAAGUUACCUUAGGGAUAACAGCGUAAUGUUUAUGGAGAGUUCAUAUCUAUAUAAAAGUUUGCGACCUCGAUGUUGAAUUAAGAUAAAAAUAGGGGGUAGAUUUUCUAAUUUUAAGUCUGUUCGACUUUUAAAUUCUUACGUGAU